rnacentral:lncRNA from 1 species
AUGAAAAAGCCUUCGAGCCCACUGUCAAAUGCUGCAAAUCCUGCGUUGACUGUCUUUCAACCUCACUGUGGCAAUUUAUUCCCACUCUUGUGCCCACCUCGACCCUUCAGACAGAGGGACGCCUUAGGCUCACCAAGGAAAAUGGCAAAUAGUGGAAAGAUGACAAGGAUGAAACUUUCCUGCUUUAGGACGGAAAGAAGACUUAUGAACAAGAGCUUUGACAUACUGAGUCAUAACCUAGGAAACCAUAAAGAAUCUUCUAAUGAUUCUUUUUUCAGAUGUAUUGCUACUUUAUCCCCUUCUUUUGAAAAGGAGCUGAAAAGAACCAUAAUAUAUCCAAAUUUUGAGAAGUUAGCACUGAGAUCCACGGAAUAAAUAUGUCAUUCAAAGGUAUAAGCACUUCAAUUUCCUUCUGAAUCACCAUAUAGCAUUCUGAAAUCACUGUGUGGACAGGAACCAACAGCUCUUGGCUGGUUAGAGCCUGAAACCAUCUGCUUCCCUAGUUCUCCCAUGUUGCUAUCCCCGACACUUUCUAGUUUCCUGGUCAGGGGGGACAAAUUCUUCUUUAUAUUCCAAUAUUCCUCCCACGCACUCCACAUGUUUUCAAAAUGCCUUCUGUCAAAUGCAGACAUUAUUGAAAUGACUUAUCAAGUGAGGUGGGCAGGCAGAGCUAGCAUCCCAACUCUAGUGCUUGCCUAACAGGAGUGUGCACAUCAAUUCCACACCCUGGCUUAAUAAUAGACUUCACAAUGCCCUCUCUCCUUAUAACUAACUCUCACUCCCUCCAUCUUGAGGUCACAGUUUUGGAAGAAAAGUCUAAAAGUCUUCCCCUUCACCUGCUCAUCCCUCUUCCUCUUCAAAUAUUUUCC